ACCUAAACCUGAUCGGAACGAACACGAAGUGAAACGGAGUAAAGUGGAGAGCAGGACUGAAU
rnacentral:sRNA from 1 species